AUAAGGGCCAAAGGGGCUUGCUUCCUUUCACAGUGGACAGAAAAAGAAAAAAAUAAUUGAGUUCAUGACACGGGUGACUCAAGGUGCAAACAGCACUUAGACAAAUGACAGACGAACCAUACGAGUCCACAGCCCAUCACCAUGGUGAAGCUGGGGAUGUUUGUCACUCUUUGCCUUGUGCACAAUAUUUUGGAAAAAAAUGCUGCUUCAGUAUCCCUCAGGGACACCAGUGGUGACUGACUGCACACCUUUGGGGGCAGUGUCUCUCUGCCUCAGCCCUGUGGUAGCUCUGGCUCUGGUGGCAGCCUCCUCUCAGCGGAGGACCUGGUGCCAGGAAGCGGCACAAUCAACUGUGUUUCCCUUUUCCUUUUGACCCCUUCCCGAGGCUGGAAUCGCUCAGGCAUGGUCUCCAUGAUUAGGUGGAAAGCUCAUCAAACAUUUGGCCACGGCCCAAAAGCUUUGACGCUGCAUCCUAAUCUCAGUCCCCACAAAUCCAAACUCCUGGAACUGGACCAGGACUGGGUUUGUCCUAUUCCAGGCCACCUCUGCUGUCAGUCCCAGCUCCCUUCCUUCUUCCCAGCACCACACCAGCAAGGCUUGAUUAUUUUUGGUAACCUCUCUAGACAGGCGAGCGGCUGCAUUCCCUAGGCCUUGAGCAAUUCUAAUUACGAGGUCAUGGUGGUGAGGAAUUUGCAAUACGUGAAAGGAUCAAGGCUUAUGAAGACAAGAUGUGGUUGUCAUCGUUCCCAUAAUGCAGGCCAUGAACUGAGGCUCAGACAUAGAAAGGAGCUAGCGCAGAGCCCCACAACCACGGUAAGGAGCCACGUGUGGAUUCUCAACACUGGUCUCCUGACAGAGGAAACCAAGGUUCAGACUGGCUGUGUGACCUGCUGAAGGUUAUGGAAUAAAUGAAGGGACUGGAAAUUUGAUCCAG